CGAUGUAUCGUGAUGCGAAUGGGUGAUAACAAUAAUUACGAGAGAGUGUUCUCUCGCUCGCUUUAAAAAGCGACUACUGUGGACGCAAAUAUUGUUAUAACGCGGCCGCGCUCGAGGUAGAGUGCCUCUACAUCUACCGAAUCCGAGGCGUAUCGUCGUCGUCGUCGUCGUUGUCGUGUUCUCCACGUGUGCACCACGCCGAUCCGAGCCGCAAAUGCAACACAUACGCUCGACGAGAGCGCAUCGUCGUGCAUAAGUGGCACUCCGAUACACCGAGAAAGUACGAACGGCGAGCUGACGAAGAGAACGUAGGCGAAACACGAAGAAGUGCAUUACCGAGGCAUAAAAUCAAGAGAGACAAGCCGACAAAUGCAACCCCCCUCCCGCCCGCAAAUAAACGCAACGAUGUAAUUACGUAAUGUCAAG